CAGCCGCCGCGGGAAUACGGAGGGAGCUAGCGUUGUUCGGAAUUACUGGGCGUAAAGCGCGCGUAGGCGGUUACUCAAGUCAGAGGUGAAAGCCCGGGGCUCAACCCCGGAACUGCCUUUGAAACCAGGUGACUAGAAUCUUGGAGAGGUCAGUGGAAUUCCGAGUGUAGAGGUGAAAUUCGUAGAUAUUCGCAAGAACACCAGUGGCGAAGGCGGCUCACUGGCCCGCUACUGACGCUGAGGUGCGAAAGCGUGGGGAGCAAACAGGAUUAGAUACCCCCGUAGUCCCUGUCUCUUAUAA
rnacentral:rRNA from 1 species